GGGUUGUUAGCUCAGUUGGCUAGAGCAUCUCGUUUACACCGAGAGGGUCGGGGGUCCGAGUCCCUCACAACCCACCA
rnacentral:tRNA from 1 species